rnacentral:lncRNA from 1 species
GGAGAGUCACUUUAAACUGCUCCAGGAGCCAAACUCCCUGGGCCGGCCGCCCGCCCGCCCGCCCGCCCGCGCUCCCCCGGCCGCUCUGCUUCCCCGCCAAGGCCCACGUCCGCCACGCCCCCACGCCCGGGUCAGCCCACCCCUCCCGGUGCCUCUCCCUUCCUCGCCACAGGACACCCAGCCCCUGUCGCCGGCCCAACCGCCGUGACCAGCUCGCGAAAGAGCCGCGGUCCGAGCCGCAGGAGACGAGGAUCCUCUGCCCUUCCCCGGGGACGCGCAACGGGACGGACGCUGCAGCCCGGCUCAGCCGCCCCGCCCCCUCGUCUCCUCCCCUUCCCUCCCGGGCGCCCGUCCCGCCAUUACCUGGGUGCUGCGCCCAGUGGCCGCCGCGCCGCCUUGAGCUCGCUCCCGCGCGCUCUCCGUCUGUGGGGCCGACGUCCCCAGGCUCCGGACCCGCAGCCACCGCCGGGGAGCUAGCACUCUGCCCCCCACCCCUCACUCCAGCGCCGCUGCUUCCGCCGCCGUAACGAGCCUCCCGUCUAUUGGCUGGCGCAGGCCCCGCCCCCUGCCGAGUCAGCCAGUCGCCGGUGGUCGUGAGCGGGAGAGCGGACGGGCCCGCCCCUCUGAGCCGCGGCGUCCUGUGGGAAAUGUAGUCGCCGGAGUCAGGAGGGCGGGCCGCGAAGGAGGUGGAGAGCGCCGGGGCGGGGCCGCAGGCGACCCGGCCAGGGCAACACACCCCUUUGCUGUCUGAAGUCGGUUCUGCCUUUUCUCUUGGCUAAGUGAGAAGACAGUGGAUCCCACCCUAUGCCUUAACCUGAGGGCACUGGGUUUCAUUUUCCCCGCGGGGAGGCGCGGCGCGGGAAAGGGUAAUGGAGGCCAACUGCGGCGGCCAAGGGAUCCGCGGGCCGGGCCAGUGUCGUGACGGUGCCCGCCUCCCUAUGCCGCGAGUGGGACUCGGUGUCCCCACCGGGAACCGCGGUCGGCACAGCCUACGCGCGGCGGGAGCCGCCAGGCGCAGCGCGGGCGCGGCUCUGUGAAAGCAGGCCGGCAGGGCGCAGGGCUCUGGGCGGCCGGGGCGCACCUGCGCGCGCUUUCCGGAUUAUAAAGGAGCUGAAGGGGGCAGUUUUAUUUUGUCAUUUUGCUUGGGGUUCAGGGUUGGAGUUUAUGCACCUGUAGAAGACUUAGCCAUAUCUUUUGAGGCCACAUUUGUGUCUGAUAAGAGAUUAAGUCUCCCUCUUCCCUUACCAGAUGGUAAUUUAGGCCUGGAGUUUUGUGAUUAGUUAGGAAAUAAAUGGGGCUCAAACCCCCCUCUUCCUAUCAUGCACAGCUGUGUAAGACAACUGCUUGGUUAGAAGAGAGUAGCUCCUGGCUAUAGCCCAGGGAUGAGUCUCAGAUACUCCUCCUCUUCAAGCCACUUUCCUUUUCCACCUUCAUGCCUUCAUUCUCAAACUUCUAAAGAGUGACUCCUGUGAUAGACUUCAGCCUCCUCUCUGCCUAGGCAGUCCUUAUCCCUUUUGGAGUUGCCACUCUUCUCAGACUGCUCCCCAAAAGUUGCCAACACCUACUCAACUUCAAACCCAUCGGUCCUCACUUAGAUCUCAUCUUGUUUAGCUUACUGACCAGUAGUAAUUCCUCCUCAUGUCUUCCCUUGGCCUCUAGAACCAGGCUGUCUCCUGCUUCUACUCCUAUGUCAAGCUCCAUUAUACCUCCUCUUUCUCAUAAAUACAGCAUUCUUCAGGGCUCCAACACGCUAAUGCUAUACUGCCUUCCUAAAUGGUUUAAUGUAUUUCCACAGUUUCAAAUGUCAUCCUUUUUGUUUUUUGUUUUUUUGAGACAGGUUCUCAGUUCAGCCCAAGCUGAAGUCCAGUGGCGUGAUCACAGCUCAUUGCAGCCUCGACUUCCUUGUCUCAACUAACUUAUUGCCUCAGCCUCCUGAGUAGCCAGGACUGCAGGCGCAUGCCACCACACCCCACUAAACAUAUAUAUAUGCCAGGCACGUGGCUCAUGCCUGUAAUCCCAGCACUUUGGGAGGCCGAGGCAGGCGAAUCACCUGAGGUCAGGAGUUCGAGACCAGCCUGACCAACAUGGGAAAGACCCCA